ACACGACUACAUUAGAUACCCCUGUAGUCCAGGGUGUAAACGCUGCGGGCUUGGUGUUGGGGGUCCUUUGAGGGCGCCCAGUGCCGGAGAGAAGUUGUUAAGCCUGCUGCUUGGGGAGUACGUCCGCAAGGAUGAAACUUAAAGGAAUUGGCGGGGGAGCACCGCAACGGGAGGAGCGCGCGGUUCAAUUGGAUUCAACGCCGGACAACUCACCAGGAGCGACGGUUACAUGAAGGCCAGGCUGAUGACCUUGCCUGAUUUUCCG
rnacentral:rRNA from 1 species